CAGAAUCAACAUGUCCUGAUGAACAAUAUUGAGGAACGCCAACACUGGAUACAAUCUUUAAAUGCGGUUACAUGCUACAUAAAUACCUGUUGCAUCACAUCGCUGGGAGUUUUUGUAUGGGACCUAAUAAGGAUUGUAUCACUGUGGUACACUUUUGGUAGCGGCACCAGAGUUGAUGUUGGAAGUAACAGGGCCCCCUCCCUGACCAUCCUACCCCCCUCUAAGGAUGAGCUGGCCAGUACAACAACGGCUACAGUAACAUGUCUGGCCAACAAGGGGUUCCCUUCUGACUGGACCAUAAAUUGGAAGGUGGAUGGACUCAACAAGAAGCAAGAGUCCAGUCGUGGAGUCCUGGAGAAGGAUGGGCUGUACAGCUGGAGCAGCACCCUGACCCUCACUGCCCAGGAGUGGACCAGGUCUGGAGAGGUGACCUGUGAGGCCCAGCGGAAGUCUGAGGCUCCGGUCAUCAAGACCCUGAGCAGGGCUGAGUGUUCUGGGUAGGAACCCCUCAGUAACACACACGCAUGUGGAGAGCUGCUGGUUCGUCGGCUUCAUGUUCUGCAAUGAGAAAUGUCUUUUUAUCUCUGACACGUAGACCAACACAGGGGCUUUGCUUUAAUCAAUCCUUUUGCAGGAGAAGAU